rnacentral:rRNA from 1 species
GACGAACGCUGGCGGCGUGCUUAACACAUGCAAGUCGAACGGAAAGGCCCUGCUUUUGUGGGGUGCUCGAGUGCCGAACGGGUGAGUAAAACGUGAGUAACCUGCCCUUGACUUUGGGAUAACUUCAGGAAACUCGGGCUAAUACCGGAUAGGAGCUCCUGCUGCAUGUUGGGGGUUGGAAAGUUUCGGCGGUUGGGGCUGGACUCGAGGCUUAUCAGCUUGUUGGUGGGGUAGUGGAGUACCAAGGCUUUGACGGAUAGCCGGCCUGAGAGGGGGACCGGCGACAUUGGUACUGAGAUACGGCCCAGACGCCAACGGGAGGCAGAAGUGGGGAAUAUUGCACAGUGGGGGGAAGUCAGUUGCGGCAACGCCGCGAUCGGAAUGACGUGCUACUGGUUAUAAACAGAUGUCGCAUGAGACGUAGAGUUAGUGACGGUAAUGGAUAAAAAAGCACCGGCUAACUACGUG